AACACGUCUUGCAAGUGAUUUUCGUAAGGCCCGGAAGCAUUCACGUCUGCAUAUAUUCGGCCCCAACACCGCUGCCGCCCCGGGCUUCAUGCCUGGCGCCGCCUCUGCCCGCCCCACGUGGCUGCCUGUGCCCUCCCGGCCCGGCUCACCUGACGCCGCCCCUGCGUCUGACCUGCCCACGGGCGGUGGCCGGCCGGCCGGAGCACGACUGGUCCGCCGCGCGCGCGAGCUUUUGCUACGGGCGCUCGGUGCGGGCGGGGGGCUCCCGGCGUGGUGACUGCUUCUGGAAGAAAUUUGGACUUCAGUUAUACGAGUGUUUGUCCGCGGUGUGUCUGGGCGGUCUCCCGGUGCCGAGUCCCGUCCGGCGGCUGCACUGUUGACCCGGGAUUCCGGUCCGUGGUCCGAACUCCGGCCACCUCGGACCUAUAAACGGACUGUCUCCGAACGGUGCGGCAGUACAGGAGGGAGUAUGGCGCCGGUAUACAGCUGACACCAGACAAACGUCCAUCGGCAAGUCACCACGGAACAGACUCGAACUCCGGAAUCUCCUCCUGCCCCGCAUGUGGAA